GGAACUAGAUUCUGUUCCGAAAUAUCACUUACUCGAACCGUCCUGCCCGCGUAGCUCAGUUGGAAGAGCAUUGGGCUAGUGUUCCAAAGGUCGUAGGUUCGAAUCCCACCGUGGCCGGGCAUAUUUUUCAAGCUCGCCCGGUGUGGAUAUGCACUCAGAGUAACAUCACAAACAUAUUAUUCACCUGAGUACACAACAUCAGCACAGAAAAAAUUCAUAUUACAAGAACACAUUGGUAUUGAAGGAACUAGAUACUGUUCCGAAAUAUCACUUACUCGAACCGUCCUGACCGCGUAGCUCAGUUGGAAGAGCAUUGGGC